CUGCAAUGAUGAUUUUAAUACAACUGACCUGGAAUUGCUGAUCUCUGGGUCAGCUCUGUCCAGGAAAUGACCGUUGUUUUUGUCUCUGAGCAG
ensembl:snoRNA